GCCUUCGGGAACUCUGAGACAGGUGCUGCAUGGCUGUCGUCAGCUCGUGUUGUGAAAUGUUGGGUUAAGUCCCGCAACGAGCGCAACCCUUAUCCUUUGUUGCCAGCGGUUCGGCCGGGAACUCAAAGGAGACUGCCAGUGAUAAACUGGAGGAAGGUGGGGAUGACGUCAAGUCAUCAUGGCCCUUACGAGUAGGGCUACACACGUGCUACAAUGGCGCAUACAAAGAGAAGCGACCUCGCGAGAGCAAGCGGACCUCAUAAAGUGCGUCGUAGUCCGGAUUGGAGUCUGCAACUCGACUCCAUGAAGUCGGAAUCGCUAGUAAUCGUAGAUCAGAAUGCUACGGUGAAUAC
rnacentral:rRNA from 1 species